rnacentral:rRNA from 1 species
UACGGGGGGGGCAAGCGUUGUUCGGAAUUACUGGGCGUAGAGGGUUUGUAGGUGGCUUAUUAAGUCAGACGUGAAAUCCCUCAGCUUAACUGGGGAACUGCGUCUGAUACUGGUUGGCUCGAGUGCAGGAGAGGAACGCGGAAUUCCAGGUGUAGCGGUGAAAUGCGUAGAUAUCGGGAGGAACACCAAUGGCGAAGGCAGCUCGCUGGGACGGUACUGACGCUGAGGCGCGAAAGCGUGGGGAGCAAACAGG